AAAGAGUUAGUUAAGUUAAUAUUAGUAUGUCACACUAAAGUCAGGGGAUAUCCUCUACUCUUUG
rnacentral:tRNA from 1 species